rnacentral:misc_RNA from 1 species
UGUAGGAGUGAGCCUGCUCGCGAUAGCGGUAUGUCAGUCAGUACAUCUGUAGCUGAGAGAACGCUAUCGCGAGCAGGCUCACUCCUACA